rnacentral:rRNA from 1 species
ACGAACGCUGGCGGCGUGCUUAACACAUGCAAGUCGAACGGUGAAGCGCCUUCCUUUUUGGUGGGUGUGGAUGAGUGGCGAACGGGUGAGUAACACGUGAGUAACCUGCCCCCUUCUUCUGGAUAACCGCAUGAAAGUGUGGCUAAUACGGGACAUUCUGGGUCUGUCGCAUGAUGGGUCUGGGAAAGAUAUUGUUUCGGUGGGGGAUGGGCUCGCGGCCUAUCAGCUUGUUGGUGGGGUGAUGGCCUACCAAGGCGGUGACGGGUAGCCGGCCUGAGAGGGUGGACGGUCACACUGGGACUGAGACACGGCCCAGACUCCUACGGGAGGCAGCAGUGGGGAAUAUUGCACAAUGGGCGCAAGCCUGAUGCAGCGACGCCGCGUGAGGGAUGGAGGCCUUCGGGUUGUGAACCUCUUUCGCCAGUGAAGCAGGCCUGCCUCGUUUGUGGGUGGGUUGACGGUAGCUGGAUAAGAAGCGCCGGCUAACUACGUG